AUAGACUGCUGUUUCUGCCUGCACGGGCCAGAUGGCCCAGCACCUUCCCUUCCAGUCCGCUUAGCGCAGUCAUAGGCUUCUGUCCGGCUUGGAUUUGUCUUUUCUGCUCUGCAUUCAAGGCCCGUUCACCUCCGCAGUCAAGCCUCGUUCACCUCCGCAGUUCUGAGACCUGGGGAAGGCAGAGCCCCAUCUCCCACUUAGGGAACUGGGUGGAUUGGAUACUCCUUUUCCCCACUCCUGGUUGGUGGCACCUGGCCGGGUGCCUGAGGCCUGACUGCACGAAUGGCCUGCAUGGGACUUUGACUCUAGAGCUGGCAACGGAGAGGGCGGCUCAGGGCUGAGAAGAGGUCUUCUCUAGAGGUUUG
rnacentral:lncRNA from 1 species